GAGUUUGAUCGUGGCUCAGAACUAACGCUGGCGGCGUGCCUAACACAUGCAAGUCGAACGAGAAGCCCGCAAGGGUUGUAAAGUGGCGGACGGGUGCGUAACACGUGGGUAAUCUACCCUAUGGCCUGGGAUAACCUGCCGAAAGGCGGGCUAAUACCGGAUAAGACCACGGCUCUGCGGAGCUGUGGGAAAAGACCCGCAAGGGUCACCGUUUGAUGAGCCCGCGGCCUAUCACGGUAGUUGGUGAGGUAAUGGCUCACCAAGCCUACGACGGUAGCUGGUCUGAGAGGACGACCAGUCACACUGGAACUGAGACACGGUCCAGACUCCUACGGGAGGCAGCAGUGGGGAAUAUUGCGCAAUGGGCGAAAGCCUGACGCAGCAACGCCGCGUGGGUGAUGAAGGUCUUCGGAUUGUAAAGCACUUUCGACCGGACGAAACCCGACUGGCCAAUAUCCAGCGGCUUGACGGUACCGGGAGAAGAAGCACCGGCUAACUCUGUGCCAGCAGCCGCCGCCU
rnacentral:rRNA from 1 species